AUGGGGUCCUAUGGAUCCCUAUUUGGCAGCUAUGGGGUUCUAUGGGGUUCUAUGGGGCUCUAUGGGGUUCUAUGGGGUCUCUAUGGGGCUCUAUGGGUCCUAUUUGGCAGCUAUGGGUCUUAUAGGGUCUUAUGGGGUCUCUAUGGGGUCUUAUGGGGUCCUAUGGGGUCCUAUGGGGUCUUAUGGGGUCUCUAUGGGGUGAUAUGGGGUCUUAUGGGGCUCUAUGGGGUCUUAUGGGGUCCUAUGGGGCUCUAUGGGUUCUUAUGGGGUCCUAUGGAUCCCUAUUUGGCAGCUAUGGGGCUCUAUGGGGCUCUAUGGGGUCUAUGGGGUCUAUAUGGGGUCUAUAUGGGGUCCUAUGGGGUCUGUAUGGGGUUCAGUGGGUCUCUAUGGGGCUCUAUGGGGUGUCUACAGGCACUAUGGGGCGAUAUGGGGUGUCUAUGUGGUUCUAUGGGGCUCUAUGGUGUGGCUGUAGGGCCUUAUGUGGUGUCUAUGGGGCACUAUGUUGUGCUAUGGGGUGCUAUGGGGCUCUAUGGGGUGCUAUGGGGCUCUAUGGGGUCUCUAUGGGGUCCUAUGGGUCCCUAUUUGGCAGCUAUGGGGCUCUAUGGGGCUCUAUGGGGUCCUAUGGGGGCUCUAUGGGGUCCUAUGGGGCUCUAUAGGUCUCUAUGGGGUUCUAUGGGGCUCUAUGGGGUCUCUAUGGGGCACUAUGGGGUCUCUAUGGGGCUCUAUGGGUCACUAUGGGGCAGCUAUGGGGCUCUAUGGGGCUCUAUGGGGUCCUAUGGGGCUCUAUGGGGUCCUAUGGGGUCCUAUGGGGUCCUAUGGAUCACUAUUUGGCAGCUAUGGGGUUCUAUGGGGUUCUAUGGGGUGCUAUGGGGCUCUAUGGGGUUCUAUGGGGUCUUAUGGGGUCUCUAUGGGGUCCUAUGGGGUCUCUAUGGGGUCUCUAUGGGGUCCUAUGGGAUCUUAUGGGGUCCUAUGGGGUCCUACGGGGCUCUAUGGGUCCUAUGGUGUUAUAUGGGGCUCUAUGGGGUCUUAUGGGCAAUAUGGGGUCUCAGUGGGGCUCUAUGGGUCCAUAUGGGAUCCUAUGGGUCUCAGUGGGGCUCUAUGGGUCCAUAUGGGAUCCUAUAG
rnacentral:lncRNA from 1 species